rnacentral:rRNA from 1 species
GACAGAGGGUGCGAACGUUGUUCGGAAUUACUGGGCGUAAAGGGCGCGUAGGCGGUCAGCACAAGUCAGUUGUGAAAUCUCCGGGCUUAACUCGGAAAGGUCAACUGAUACUGUGCGACUAGAGUGCGGAAGGGGCAACUGGAAUUCUCGGUGUAGCGGUGAAAUGCGUAGAUAUCGAGAGGAACACCUGCGGCGAAGGCGGGUUGCUGGGCCGACACUGACGCUGAUGCGCGAAAGCCAGGGGAGCGAACGGG